UACGUAGGGUGCGAGCGUUGUCCGGAAUUAUUGGGCGUAAAGGGCUCGUAGGCGGUCUGUUGCGUCGGGAGUGAAAACUCAGGGCUUAACCCUGAGCCUGCUUCCGAUACGGGCAGACUAGAGGUAUGCAGGGGGAGAACGGAAUUCCUGGUGUAGCGGUGAAAUGCGCAGAUAUCAGGAGGAACACCGGUGGCGAAGGCGGUUCUCUGGGCAUUAUCUGACGCUGAGGCGCGAAAGCGUGGGGAGCAAACGGG
rnacentral:rRNA from 1 species